CGCGGGCCGCAGGGCUGCGAAGGAGGGAGUUCCGGGCCCACAGGUGGCCGCCUGCGCCCGCGGCCCUUCCACGCACGGCCGGGCCCAGAGGCAAAGGGACUGGGGUCGCGCCCGGCUCCGGACCGGGAGAAGAUGAGCGGAGCCGGGCUCUCAGCCUCCCCACUAGCUACUGCACGGACCCGAGCUGGCCCCUGAAGGUCCCUGGGCCUCGGUUUCCUCGGCUGCCAUGUUAGAGUAAUCGCAGGCGCUACAGACAGAGAUCCAGGAGAGCCGAUUCUGGUAAGAACUUCCACCCUUUGAUGGCUUCUCUCAGGUUUCCUGGAUCAGUUUUCUCCAAGGCUCCAGAGGAAACACCAUGCUGGGAAGGACUAAAAAGUCAUGGGCUAUUUGGAUAUAAGGCUAUUUGGAUAUUUCAACAACU